GAGCUUCUGGUGAAACUAUCACACUGCCUUGUCGAGGCUGCUUUGUGGGUUAAAGCCCCACGUAGCUUU
rnacentral:tRNA from 1 species